rnacentral:snRNA from 1 species
AUACUUACCUGGCAGGGGGGAUACCAUGAUCACGAAGGUGGUUUUCCCAGGAAGAGGCUUAUCCAUUGCACUCUGGAUGUGCUGACCCCUGCAUUUCCCCAAAUGUGGGAAACUCAACUGCAUGAUUUGUGGUAGUGGAGGACUGCAUUCACACUUUCCCCUG